AGAGUUUGAUCCUGGCUCAGGAUGAACGCUGGCGGCGCGCCUAACACAUGCAAGUCGAACGAACAACCAGAUUCUUCGGAAGCUGGUGGGUUAGUGGCGCACGGGUGAGUAACACGUUGGUGACCUGCCCUGGAGAAGGGGAUAACUUCUCGAAAGAGAGGCUAAUACCGUAUGUGCUCAGUCAUUCAUUUGAUUGAGUAAAGCUCCGGCGCUCCAGGAGGGGCCUGCGUCCGAUCAGUUAGUUGGUGGGGUAACGGCCUACCAAGACGAUGAUCGGUAGCUGGUCUGAGAGGACGAUCAGCCACACUGGCACUGACACACGGGCCAGACUUCUACGGAAGGCAGCAGUGAGGAAUAUUGCGCAAUGGGCGAAAGCCUGACGCAGCAACGCCGCGUGGAGGAUGAAGGCCUUCGGGUUGUAAACUCCUUUUCUGAGGGAAGAGACAAAGGACGGUACCUUAGGAAUAAGUCUCGGCUAACUACGUGCCAGCAGCCGCGGUAAAACGUAGGAGGCAAGCGUUAUCCGGAUUUACUGGGCGUAAAGCGCACGCAGGCGGUUAUGUAAGUCGGACGUGAAAGCUCCCGGCUCAACUGGGAGAGGUCGUUCGAUACUGCGUAACUUGAGGUUAGGAGAGGGGAGUGGAAUUCCCGGUGUAGUGGUGGAAUGCGUAGAUAUCGGGAGGAACUCCAGUGGCGAAGG
rnacentral:rRNA from 1 species